GUCAGGAUGGCCGAGUGGUCUAAGGCGCUGCGUUCAGGUCGCAGUCUCGUCUGAAGGCGUGGGUUCGAAUCCCACUUCUGACA